rnacentral:rRNA from 1 species
UACGAAGGGGACUAGCGUUGUUCGGAAUUACUGGGCGUAAAGCGCACGUAGGCGGAUUUGUUAGUCAGGGGUGAAAUCCCGGGGCUCAACCUCGGAACUGCCUUUGAUACUGCAAGUCUCGAGUCCGAUAGAGGUGGGUGGAAUUCCUAGUGUAGAGGUGAAAUUCGUAGAUAUUAGGAAGAACACCGGUGGCGAAGGCGGCCCACUGGAUCGGUACUGACGCUGAGGCGCGAAAGCGUGGGGAGCAAACAGG